rnacentral:rRNA from 1 species
AUUGAACGCUGGCGGCAUGCUUUACACAUGCAAGUCGAACGGUAACAGGCCUUCGGGUGCUGACGAGUGGCGCACGGGUGAGUAAUGCAUCGGAACGUACCCAGAGGUGGGGGAUAACGCAGCGAAAGCUGUGCUAAUACCGCAUGUGAUCUGAGGAUGAAAGCGGGGGACCGAGCAGCAAUGUUUGGCCUCGCGCCUUUGGAGCGGCCGAUGUCGGAUUAGCUAGUUGGUGGGGUAACGGCCUACCAAGGCGACGAUCCGUAGCUGGUCUGAGAGGACGACCAGCCACACUGGGACUGAGACACGGCCCAGACUCCUACGGGAGGCAGCAGUGGGGAAUUUUGGACAAUGGGCGCGAGCCUGAUCCAGCAAUGCCGCGUGCGGGAAGAAGGCCUUCGGGUUGUAAACCGCUUUUGGCAGGAACGAAACGGUGUCCGCUAAUACCGGGCGCUAAUGACGGUACCUGCAGAAUAAGCACCGGCUAACUACGUG